ACUCCAGCGCCCUCACGUGGCUGCCAGGUGCCGGCGGCAGCAGCAAUGCUUCCUGACCACAUACUGCUGGUGGCACUAAGCAAUUCCACGUGGAGCAGGGACAGAUGCAGAACGUUCAGAAAAGGGGUGUUGCCUCUGCCGCAGAAAUGAGGUAAAUACCUAUAAAAUAUUUUAAGUAAAAAUCGUUUCCCUCACCUUGAGCCCUCAUAUCUCCCGUUCCUCUCAUAUUCAGUUGGAAGCCUCAAUGAAUAGAAUGCAGAAGCACAGAGAAGUGGGAAAGAGAAAAGAUAUCUUACAACCAGUACACGACCAACCCAAAGAUAAACACAGACAUUAUAAAAUGAACAAAUCCAAAGCACUUUUUUUUGGUCACCAGCUGAGCUUAUUAAAACUCCUACUCUUGUAGGUGUGACUCUGCCAGAGGCCACCGCCAUGAGUUCAUGAAGGCCGUGCAGGAGGCUGGCUACACACCUGCUUCACAUACACAACAGGUAUUCCUGCCCAGCUCUGGAAUCUGCGCACACUCACGGCCUUCAACUGGAGGUAUAAAGAGGAGGAAGCUACAGGAUUAAGGCUCUCACACUCCGCCCGGGACCACGUGGAUGGCUCCCAGGAGCACAGAGGCACCUGCGCUUGUGCCCGGGCUGUCCUGCCUGCAGAGUAUGGGUGACUCUGAGUGCCCUGAGCCCACAGCUCUCUAAAGCUCUCACAACAUCCAGGGCACAGCCAGGAGCAGAGGGCGAGUUUUCUGAUGCCAGUCCCACCACGUCACAGCAGGUCUCCUUGUGGCAUCUACGUGCCAACACCUGAGCCUUUCCUGCACUAGAACUUUAACCCUCACAAUUAUUGUUAGGAGAGGGUAAGAAGCUGAUGCUGCGGCAGCAAGGACUCUGUUUUUAAGAAUGAACUGACUAAAACUGAAGUACAGCACCAAGGGAGGCUACAGGUCUCAGUCUGCAAACUAACAGAAGACUUUCUGUAAAAAUUUUGGGGUGGAAAUUAUAAAAUCAGAUGAGCCCCUCUAGAAUAUUUUUAACAAGAAGCCUCAGCCUUCACUUUCAAUUCAAAUACAUGAAAUAAAUUUAAUUCUAAAAUGUGG